GGGGGAAUUUUUGGCAAUGGGCGAAAGCCUGACCAAGCAACGCCGCGUGGGUGAUGAAGUAUCUUGGUACGUAAAACCCUUUCGGCAGGGACGAACCUAAUGACGGUACCUGCGGAAGAAGCCCCGGCUAACUCCGUGCCAGCAGCCGCGGUAAUACGGGGGGGGCAAGCGUUGUUCGGAAUUACUGGGCGUAAAAGGGCGCGUAGGCGGUUGGAUAAGUCAGCUGUGAAAAACCACGGGCUUAACUCGUGGCCUGCAGUUGAGACUGUCUGGCUUGAGUGUGGGAGAGGAGAGUGGAAUU
rnacentral:rRNA from 1 species